AGAAACAGUGCCUCAUUUCUGUGUG
rnacentral:piRNA from 1 species